AAUUGAUUUUUGAAAAUUCAAAUAUCUGCGAUCCUCUCCCUUCCUUGCAUAUCCGCCCCCCUUCAUUCCCUGCACAACUCUCACCCAUCCAACCCCCUUCUCUGAACCCCUUCCGUGAAUCCCCUUUUUUGCAGUGUUUUAAAUUCUCUUCGAUGUGUAAGUCUUGGGAAUCCUCACUGAUUCCUGAGUUCUAAGAUUUGAAAACUCUCCAUGCAUUGUCUGAGAUAGAAGAAGCGGUGGUGUCUCAAUACUGAGGCAACAAUUCGUCUUUCCCUAUUUCUCCUCCGACCACAGCCGAGCAGGAGUCUACUGUUUUAAUCGUAGGUGCGUCCGGCUCCAUUGUAAGAGGAUAUUUAUAGCCGCAAGGAGUUUUCUCUCCCGCUCUCACAAAGAAGCCCUAAUUUUCUCCUCCGACCACAGCCGAGCAAGAGUCUUCACUGCAUCAGUCCUAGGUGCGUCUAACUCUACUGCAAAAUCUCUUUGUAGUCACUGAGGAAGCCACCGGUAUUUCACUGUUCCCGUCCUUUCUCUCUGAUUUCUUGCCUUGCUAUGAUAUAUUCGAAUGACUUUGUGAUGCUUUUCCUGUUGAACAUAGUUCGCCCAUCUUUGCUGAUUUUGUAGCUUGCGGCAUUAACUACUGGAUCAAAGAUUAAAAUGUGGUACUAUAGUGAUUUCAUGGUAUCUUACUAAAUUUAGUAUUUUUCUCACAUCUUUUUCCUUUUUCUUUUUCUUUUUGCAAAUCAGGUCGUGACGGUGGAGAACUGCUGGACAUAAAUUUAUACAGAUAGGUGGAAGAUGCACAGAGGAAGACACAAAUUCUUUUUGUCCAAACAUACUUUGUUAUCUCAUUCGAAAACCUGUGGAACAAGAGAAUAUAGGUGUGACUGUGGAACCCUUUUCUCCAGGGAAGUUUCUGCAUUCACUCGGACAAAUUGUCCUAUCCGAGUGUGGAUCAGUUCAUUCUCUUCAGAGAUGACUUGGUUGAUGUUAUUGUCCCUUUCAUGGGUGAAUCUAUCACGGAUGGCACAUUGGCAAAGUUUUUGAAGAGAACCUAUGUUGGGUGCAGAACCUGGUGAUACUGUACAAAUUGAUGAUCCAAUCGCUCAAGUUGAAACUGAUAAGGUUGACCAUUGAUGUUGCCAGUCCUGAAGCGGUAGUUAUUCAGAAGACAAGAUUCUGAGUGUGGUGUUGUUCGUGUCUAUUGAAUGGUUGGUAGUUUGUAGCCAAUGAAGGAAACACUGUGGAACCAGGAACCAAAAUUCCAGUCAUUUCAAAGAAUGGUGAAGGUAUUACACAGGCUGCUCCAUCUGAGGAGGAGAAACAGAAAAAGAGGCUCCUCAGCCAUCUCAUCCUGCAGAAAAGGAUAGUACUGAUAAGCAAAAGCCGAAAGCAGAAUUUGCUUCUGUGAAGGAUGAACCUAAAGCACCAUCCCCACCACCAACCAAGGCCUCAGCUACAGAACCUUAGCUUCCUCCCAAGGAAAGGGAAAGACGAGUGAGUCUCAUGUCUUAUUUACCCAAAUAUAUUCAUUGCUAAGUUUCAUAUUGAACUUUAUGACCUAUGAUUAUGAGGAUUCUAUGAUAAAGAAAUAGUUUCUGCUGCCUCCAUAAUAGUUUUGGAACUUCAUCAUGAUUGGAGGUUCCUAUGACAAGCGAAGGAGUAUAUUCCAGAUCUCUAUCUACUGACAUACAACAUAUGCAGCUUUUGGAAUCUCUAUACGCUGCUGAAGGCUCUGAAGUAUUGGAUCGUCUGAGCAGCAAACAAUUGUUUUUUAAGAACAUAGACUAUGCAAUUGACAUCUUUCUGAUAUAUGUUCUGACACUGUUAAUCUUCCCUGGGUUUUUGUCUAAAGAUACUGGGUCUCAUAGUCUGGGUUAUGGUAAGCCCUCCCUUACUUACAGACAAUGAAAUAAACAGGUUCAGAAACUUUUUGUACUUGGGAUUAGUCCACUGGUUGUUUAUUUAUUUAGCUCACUGUUUUUUCAACAAUUCAAUACUGGGAAUUACAUUUACUCAGAAACUCCCAAAA